CCCCUUUAAAUCUCAUAAAAAAGAGCCUAUAUUUAAGAUGUCAGGGGAACUUGACUAUAGUGAUAAACGUCUUACGAAAUAGGCGUUUCGGACCCGGGGGCGGAACCCGGCACCUCCACCAUUAAGGUUUAACUAUGGGGGUGAAUUAGGAUCGACGAGCGUAAUAAAGGUUGGAUUUUUACUCGGUAUGGUACCACCGUUAUCGGGCUA
rnacentral:tmRNA from 1 species